GGUAAGAUGGCUGAGAAUAAGCGGCGGAUUGUAGCUCCGUUUAUAGAGGUCAAAAAAUCCUCUUCUUAUCA
rnacentral:tRNA from 1 species